GAAGGGGGCGGAAGCUACGAUGGAAGGAACCCCUUUGGAAGCCCCAGGCUGGCUUGGAGGACUGUACGGCCCACAGCGGAGGCCAGGAAACGAAAAUGACCUCGAGGCGAACCUUAGGGCUCUGACCUUUCGCAUUCGGUAGCCACAGAGAGGACGGCGUUGGGCGGAACUUUCCUCGCUUUUGUUUUCGGGAACCGACUUGCUGUAGGCCGAGGCGACGCUACCUCCCGGCCUCCAACCCUUCUAGGGCCAUGGAAUGCACUUCUCCCUUUGUAAAACUGAUGCAAGAGGUUGCUGAGACAGCCCAGAAAGAAAGGGAGGCCCACCUUGGAGCCCACUUUCUAGGCUAGAUCCACCUUCUGAGUUAAACUUCAACCCAGGACCAGGAUAACCUGGUCUUAAAAGAAAAAGUACCAGGAUACACCCACCAGCCACCAUGACUACAAUGGACUCCAAAAGAGUGGUAACACACUGAGAAGCCUCUGCCUCUUCCAGGAAAGGAUGUGAACAUCCCCCUCUUCAUGUUUGCCUAUCCCCCAUCCUCAUUUCUGCCACCCUAUAACCUUUUCCCUGAGUUGAGAAGUUGACUUAUGGGUGAAGUGCCCACUUCUGCGCUAUUGGCCUCGAAUAAACUUGUGCUCCUGGCAUUCAGUUUUGAUUUUGCAACACAGAAUGAGAAAAGAUCUUGCUUUGGGGGCUAAGGGAAUGAUAAGGGAUUGAUAGGUCUUAGUCAUUCAAAGCACUUGGGCUUUUAAUCUAAGUUAGCUAAGAAGCUAUCAGAGUUUUGAGCAGAGGGCAUAAUUUCACUGUUGACAGUUAAACUACACAUAAGGUAGUAAGAAAAAAGUCAACCAUGAGUCCUUGUUAGAGGGUUCUGAUUUUUACUAAGCUAUGGAUAAUACAAAGAAGAAACAACUCAAACAGAUACAAACAUUUAGUUUACAACAUAUUAGAGGUGAAGUGACUGAGAUACUGACUGGACCUGGAUAUAAGGGCCUGAGACUUUGACAAAUAGUGGGAUUCAAGGUAACAGAUUUGGGAGUCAUUAGUGUUCAUUAGAAAUCAAUGAAGUCACGAGGGUAAAAUCACUUAGAGGUGUAUGUAACAGAUAAAAUAUAUGCAUUUAUAGAUGAAUGAUAAACACCAAAUCACCAUCUUGGCUCCCUCUGAAAGUAAAGACAUCUGGAAAGGAAUUCCAAAGGAAAAAAAAAAAAGGAGCACGAGAGAUUGAA